rnacentral:tRNA from 1 species
GGGCCUAUAGCUCAGUUGGUUAGAGCAGCGGACUCAUAAUCCGUUGGUCCACGGUUCGAGUCCGUGUGGGCCCACCA